UUUUAUUUGAGAGUUUGAUCCUGGCUCAGGAUGAACGCUGGCGGCGUGCCUAACACAUGCAAGUUGAGCGAUUUACUUCGGUAAAGAGCGGCGGACGGGUGAGUAACGCGUGGGUAACCUACCCUGUACACACGGAUAACAUACCGAAAGGUAUGCUAAUACGGGAUAAUAUAUUUGAGAGGCAUCUCUUGAAUAUCAAAGGUGAGCCAGUACAGGAUGGACCCGCGUCUGAUUAGCUAGUUGGUAAGGUAACGGCUUACCAAGGCGACGAUCAGUAGCCGACCUGAGAGGGUGAUCGGCCACAUUGGAACUGAGACACGGUCCAAACUCCUACGGGAGGCAGCAGUGGGGAAUAUUGCACAAUGGGCGAAAGCCUGAUGCAGCAACGCCGCGUG
rnacentral:rRNA from 1 species